UGCACUCUAAGGCCGCCUAGUAAAUGCUUUAGACUGAUCCCCCUGGUAUUUAGUGCUUUUUUUCUUUGGGAUCCCAACUGGCCCCAGAUCUCAGGAUGGAAUUGUAGGAAUUCCCCUUCUGCUGCUUUGGGGAGACUCCAGCCAUGGGUUCAGUGGGAAGAAAUAAUGAGAAAUAAGAAGAAGAAGUGAUCUUUUUAUAAGGACACCAGGAAUCAGAUCAGGAGCCACCCUAAUCCAGUGUGACCUCGUCUUAACCUGAUCGCAUCUGCACACACCCUAUUUGCAGCAAUGGAAGUCACACUUCUGAUGCCAGUGAUGGACUGAGGAGAUCACCGCGGGUGAACGAGCAGCUGGAGAGGAGAAGGGAAGCGUGGAGACAGCCAGGGAGUCUGAGGAGGAGGGCUCGGUGAAGCAGGGGCGGUCCAGGAAAGCGUGGCAUCGCGAAGCCAGCAGACCACCGUGAGGGCUGAAGGGUGAACGCUGAAUGUGGCACCACGGAGGCCACGCGGACCGGGCCGAGAGCAGGGUGUAGAAUGCAGCGACGCAGCUACGAGCCAGGGAACGCCAAGGACUGCCAGCAGCUACGGAAGCCAGGAGAGAGGCCUGGCACAGAUGCUCCCUCGGAAGCCCCCAGAAGACACCUUGAUUUGGGACUUCCGGCCGCUGGAACUGUGCGAGAAUACAUUUCUGUUGUUUAAGCCACCCAGUGUGUUACCAUGUUCACAGAAAAGGAAUACAAGCACUUUACAAUAAAAAAAGGAAUGGAUACAUGCAACGGCAUAGACGAAUCUCAAAACAAUUAUACUGAAUGAAAGAAACCACACACACACAAGAAUACCUCCUGUAUGCCUCUAUUUAUAUGAAAUUCUAGAACAUGCAAACUAACCUAUUGUGAUAGAGAACAGAUGAGUGGUACGAGGUCGGGCAGGAGAAAAGGCUACCCAAAGGGCGUGAGGAUAUGGAUAGAUUCACUAUCUUGAUUGUGGUGAUGGUUUCACAGGUGUCUAUGUAUAUCAAAACUUAUCUGAUUAUACAGCUAAACUAUGUGUGCUUUAUUAUAUGUCAAUUAUAUCCCCUAAAAUGGUAAUAAAACUAAUAGUGGAAAAUAAAA